rnacentral:misc_RNA from 1 species
UCCCAUUUAUCAUAGGCAGUAUCGCUUAAGUCUUUUAAAGACUAAAAAACAAAAAGGGUUGCGCCCGUUAAAGGAAUUAACCAAACGUCUCACGACACGAGCUGACGACAGCCAUGCAGCACCUGUUUUCAAGAAUAAUAACAUAUAAAAAAUACUUAUUAUAAACUUAUUAUAAAAUUUCCUCAAAAAGUCAAAAACUGGUAAGGUUUUGCGCGUUGUAUCGAAUUAAACCACAUGCUCCACCGCUUAGAUAAACCUCCGUCAAUUUCUUUGAAUUUCAACCUUGCGAUCGUACUACUCAGGCGAAAUAUUUAACGCGUUAGCUAAAACACUGGUAAAAACACCAACAUUGAAUAUUCAUCGUUGAAAGUAUAGACUAC